AUGCUCACUUUGGCAGCACAUAUAUUAAAGCUGGAAUGAUACAGAGAAGAUUAGCAUAACCCUGUGCAACAAUGACAGGCAAAUUUGUGAAGCAUUUCAUAUUUUU
ensembl:snRNA U6 U6 spliceosomal RNA